ACGCUCGACACCUACGGGAGGCAGCAGGUGGGGAAUAUUGCACAAGUGGGGGAAACCCUGAUGCAGCGACGCCGCGUGAGUGAAGAAGUAUUUCGGUAUGUAAAGCUCUAUCAGCAGGGAAGAAAAUGACGGUACCUGACUAAGAACGCCCCGGCUAACUACGUGCCAACAGCCGCGGUAAUCUGAGCGGGCUGGCAAGGC
rnacentral:rRNA from 1 species